rnacentral:rRNA from 1 species
AGUGACGCGCAUGAAUGGAUGAAUGAGAUUCCCACUGUCCCUAUCUAC